ACUUUGCCCUACUGGUGAUAUCGCUUAGUACGAGAGGAAAUGCGGUUGCAGAUAAUUAGUUUUUGCGGCUGUCUGACGAGGCAGUGCUGCGAAGCUACCAUCUGCUGGAUUAUGGCUGGACGCCUCUAAGUCAGAAUCCAUGCCAGAACGGGGUAACUUUCGCCUGCACCAGUCGGAUACGAAUAGGCCUUUGGCCCAGAACCUUACCAGGCUGGCGUUGGCAGUCCCAUUAAAGUUGGGGCUGUUCGUCGGCGUAUUGCAAUUGUACAGUGCGUAGGGUUGAAUCCUUUGCAGAUGGCUUAGUUGUCUAGCCGGGUCGUGUAAGUAGUCGAGUAGCCUUGUUGUUACGAGCUAUUGAGCGUAAGCCCGUCGCUAGCUUGAUUG
rfam:Pyrenophora teres f. teres 0-1 contig_002035, whole genome shotgun sequence.